rnacentral:tRNA from 1 species
AUUUUUCUAGUAUAAUUA